GAUGAAGAACGUAGCGAAAUGCGAUAAGUAGUGUGAAUUGCAGAAUUCAGUGAAUCAUCGAAUCUUUGAACGCACAUUGCGCCCAUUGGUAUUCCAAUGGGCAUGCCUGUUCGAGCGUCAUUUGUACCCUCAAGCUUUGCUUGGUGUUGGGCGUUUGUCUUUCGAGACUCGCCUUAAAAAGAUUGGCAGCCGGCAUACUGGUUUCGGAGCGCAGCACAAAUUGCGGUCUGUUCCUGAAUGUUGACGUCCAUGAAGCCCCCAUUAUCACUUUUGACCUCGGAUCAGGUAGGGAUACCCGCUGAACUUAAGCAUAUCAAUAAGCGGAGGA
rnacentral:misc_RNA from 1 species